rnacentral:rRNA from 1 species
UGACUCUCGGCAACGGAUAUCUCGGCUCUUGCAUCGAUGAAGAACGUAGCGAAAUGCGAUACUUGGUGUGAAUUGCAGAAUCCCGUGAACCAUCGAGUCUUUGAACGCAAGUUGCGCCUGAAGCCAUUAGGUUGAAGGCACGUCUGCCUGGGUGUCACA